UUUUCUUUUUCAAAUCGAGAGAUCUCGUUUAGUUAGCAGAAGAAAAGAAGAGACAGGAAGGAAAAACUAAGUGCAAAAAACCGACUGAAUGAGCUUGAAGCAUAUACAUUCUACUACGAGUACUAGAACAACCAAGCAAAACAUCACAAUGGUCUUAGAUCAUCAACAGUAUUGUGCAUUACUUCUUAGGUACUACCCGUAUGCGUUUUGAUGACCAAAGAUUUUCAACACAAUUACGAAUCGAGGUGAAGCGCGUUUUUUUUCAAAAGCUCGAUAUUUUGGAUCGAAUAAGUGCAGUUAUGAAAGUAGUGAAAAUGACGAAAACUUUUGAAAAAAUGUACAUUUCAGUAGAAAUUUGUUCCAAGCACAAAAUAAUCGCAUCUGUGACCGAAGGAGAUUACUUGUACCGCAUUGAAUAGACUUAGUGCUAAGUUAGAUACUUAGUUGCAAAGUGUUGCAUUGUAGUUUGCAAGCAGUAUGAUUCAAUUUAGUAUUUAUCCGUAAUUUAUAAGAGUACAAAAUAGUUUGAAUAAUUUUCAAAUUAACUUAUCGGUGGUGUAGUUCGAAUACUAUCAAAAUUCAUUGUUUUUUAGCUUCAAUUAGCCAUGUAAUAUUAACUUUGGUCCGUAUUUAUUAAUCAUUUUCUCCGAUAGGAUCCAAUCCAGACACCCACAAUGCACUCACGCUUAUUUGCACCUUAUGUUCCUUAAGAGUUUAUUAUGUACGAAUAGAAGUGUAGAAAUCUCGUUUAGCAAGAUAACACUAUUAUCCUUUUAAGAGCAAUUUCAAUCCAAAAGUUCUGCAAAAGAAUUGAUUUUACUGCUUCUUUGGAAGUCAUAGUUUUUGGUCUGAUCGGCUGUGAUGUACCGGAAUUUGAAUGCCGAUUUUAUGGUCACAUUGACCGCUGUUUCUUUAUAGUUAUUUAAGUGAACCCCCUACAAAUAGGCAUAAACAUUUUCUAGGCUUACUGUCCAUUAUCAGCUUAAGCAUGGAUUACCAAUCAAUCGAUUCUAUUCGGCGAUCAAUGAAGUCCCCUAGUUUGAGAAACAUUUUGAACAGAAAGUUAACGAGAACAAUAUUUUUGACAGUAGAAUUGAAUAUAUAUUGAAAUCAAGGUACACACAUAUAGGAACACAAAUGUAUUAUUUGUAAGUAAUGGAUCUUUCAAGUGUGUAACCCAAGCUAGUGACGAUUAUGGGAAUGAUCAUGAUACUUACUCUUUAAUAACUCUCCAUGUAAUCUAUUCAAUAAUCGCAACGAACAGAAGAAAAUGUGGUGGUCAGUAUUUGAAGCGCGUACGUUCAAUCUUACUUUUAUUUAUUUCUAUAAAGGUAUGUACUGCUUGUUACCGUAAAAUGGGGCGAAUAGAAACACUUUCCGACAUGUUUGAAUGUGUACAACUUAAACCGUGUGGAUAAAAUCCAAUUUUAUUAGUCUUAAAUAUGGGUCGCGUCUUCCUUUGCUAAGACCCCAAUCGCUGUUAAAAAAUAAAAAUUAUAUUGUACAAAGAUUUAUGAAAAUGUUGUAUGUUUCUAUUCACCCCGCAAUGGGGCGAAUAGAAACAUUGUUCAGUAAAUAUCAAUACUCUUUUAUUUAAAUGGGAAAAUAAACACAUUUUUAACUGCAUCUUGAUGAAACAUCAACAUGUAUUUACCUAGUGAAGAAAAAAAAUAAAAAUUUUGAAACCAAGUUCAAUUUUAGAUCAUUUUUGAAAUCAGCCAAAAUGGCGGAUGUUUCAAGCUAUCAAAAAUGAUUGAGAUUUAAAUAUUUUCUUCUCAAAUUUUUAAUGAGAAAUGUAGCAAAAUUUUUAAUUUGAAAAUAGUUUAGCGAUACUCUGUUGUUAUUGAACUAAUGGAAAAAAAUAUAUUUCAGUAGGUUUCUAUAGUUUAGCAUUGCAUAAUAGUCGCAUUUUUAACUAAAGGUCGCUUUGUUUCUAUUCGCCCCACUUUUUCUAUUCGCCCCGUUUUACGGUACGUAAACUGAACAUUUGUUGGUUAGAUGGUUCAUGAUAGGUGGGACUCUUUUCUAAAAUGGUAGCACCGCUACUAAUAUAGUAACAGGACUAGACCAGCAUAGUAUGGCAGAAAAAAGAUGCCGAAUUUUAUAGGGCACGUUAAAGAUUUCUGACAUAAGUUUGGAAGAAAGCCAUCUGCAGUUUCUGCUCAUGUAACAAGCAGGCACAUAUAGCAAAAAAUUUGCAAGGGAUUUUUAGCCCAAGAGUUAUGUUGUUUCGUUCUAAAAACAAGUUUAUAACGUUUAAUCGAGAC
rnacentral:lncRNA from 1 species